CGGCAAGGUUUAUUGAUCCCCAGCAGUUUAUUCUCAGCGAGUCCGAGGCUAAAUUACCCGAGUCAGUUUGAGUCAGCAGGGCAGGUCUAACCUAUCUCUCGAUGGUCUAAGACCCGAUCUGUAUCGCCUCUUUCAAAUAACUCUCCUAAGACAAUCUCCCAAUGGCCUCAAUAUCUCACUCUCGGGUACUCACGGUUCGACUCGUACGGAGCUGCUGGGUCGGAUUCUCGCUGCACUUCGACUCGUCACACGGACGUUCGAGUUCUGUGUUUUUUCCGGGCUCUCCAGUUUCCUCUCAUAGCUGAUAAACCAUACAAGUGGUAUUGGCCAUACCACACUCAAUGCAAUUUUUUUAAAAAUUUCUCUGAAUUAAACAUUGCAUCAUCGCCAUCAUCAUUCUCCUGAGCUAGCACGGGGCCACAGGCUCACCGGGUAGGCAUGGUUGGCCACCAAUAGCCAGAGUUAUCUGGAUGGUGACCCCGUGGUCCUCCACCAGCUAUUACACCCAGGUCCAACGAGGGUGGGCAAGGGGGCCUCUUGCACUCUGCGCAGGGCUCGACCCCGUUCCACGCCUUGAUGCUAAACCUGAGGGCACCGGACUCCGGUGUGCUGCUACUGCGAGAUUGACUUUGUUUGUGAAGAAGCCUUGCCACCAGACUUCGAGAAUGUGGCGUUGGCAGCUCACGUAGAAAGCCUGUGGUCUUCUCCCACCUUAUUUCAGCAGCGUUCACGUCUCGGAUCCAUACAGCAGCAGCACUGGCUGGCAGGAUGUGAAAACUUGGCAGAUGAUGCCUGGUGAAGGGGAGGGCUGCGGAGACACCUUGUGAGCUUCACUUUAAAGUGUCUUAUUCUCACGAUGAUGAAAAUUGGUACAACUUCUAUUCUCUAAGCCAAGUAUCAUUUUCCACAACUGGUAAAUGCACUAUGGCCGUGACUGAGAAAGACACCAAAUGCACGAGUCUUGCACAAACAUCGGUGAAACCUCAGAAAUGUGCUUUAUCAUUUAGCUCAUCAAAUACAAAGCAUUCAAAACCACUGGAAAUCAUCCUGCCAUCUCUCCAGCCUUCAUGUCUGGCAGUGCGAUAACCGGUUUUGUAAGGCGGUGUGGGUAUUUAUCUGGAUGCCUUUGUAACCAAACCUCAGAGCUCAUGACCAUACAACAGUCAACCCAUCAUCUGUGUCACGAGGGAAGAGCAGAAUUGUCAAAUUAGUAUUUGUCCAGUGUGUCUCUAUAAAUUACACAUGUGAAGAUAUUUUUCUGAUAUCUACUCUUCCGAUACUACAAUAUCAGGAUGCCCUGCUCAACACUGGAAGAUGUUUUUUGCACCUACACCAUCACCAAGAAAGCGCGCAUCAAAAGCCGAAAGGCAGCGAUACUCACAUUUCUCGUAUUCGUCAUGUUGGUUAUCUCGUACACAGGGUGGGUAAUUUAUACACAUGGUUAUCAAGAGUUCGAUGGCGUGGUCAGCUCUUCCACUGCCAAGGUGAAAGGUGCAACAGAAGUGACAGGGAUGGUGAUGGACGCAGCCGACUAUGUCAUCUCGCCAGAGGCAAGCAAACUCAGAAAGUGCAUUCAUCUUCUGAAGGACAUCACUGCACAUAUACAGAUAACAUGUCUGCCUUCAUAGUAAUAUAUCCUUGUGCAUAUUUUGGUGGUAUGGUAGUGCAGUGGUAACACUUGCGCCUCGCAGCAAGAAGGAACGGUGUUCGAUUCUGCGUGGAGUUUGUAUGUUCACCCCCAUAUUUUCAUGGGUUUUCUCUGGGUUCACUGGUUUUCUCUCGUAGAUGGAAUUUUUGAUUUGAAGCUUUCGUGACUGCAGUGCAUUGAAACUGGUAUUGGCCAACACAUUUCAAUGUUGGGAUAUUACUGAAUUGUGAUUACACGCAGCAGCAUCGCCCCCCAAUUGCAAAAAAAACUUGGCAGGACCCUCCUGAAUAAGAGACUUGAGACUCGGUGAGCCCUUCCUGGGUAAGCAAGCAUCAUACCAAAAUCUUAUCUGAUUUCUGACAAACGUGAUAACCAUAAUGACCAAGCAGAUGCUGCCUUACACAUUAAUUUCAUAAAUUAGACCCAACAAGAUGAGCAUUAAAUAACGUUUUAAUGAAGCUGUACGAAAUUAGCAGUGGCUUUGGCAUGACCUCCAAAUACAACCUUCAGAUAUUUUUCUCAAUAUAAAAUUUAAAACAUCGUCACACACUUUGUCGUAUUAUUUGGUCUCCUACAUCUCCCACUGCAGUUGAGGCCUGUAGUUAACCUGGUGAACUUGUUCUGUACUAGAACCACUCAACAUUUUAUUUUGAAAAUAUACAUUUUCAAUGAUUGGCAUCCAGACACCAAAUAAAGAACGUUAAACCCACUUGUCUUGCAUUGAUUACUGCCACUGUUACCAGCGUAGGGCCUCUGCCUAGCAAAUGUAUAUAACAAUACUGGCUUAUAUAGAUUCUAUGAAUUCACAUUGAUUUGAAGCUUUCGUGACUGCAGGAAUCCGCAAAGCUAUAUCCCCAACUAUGGGGAGAGAACCAUCUGAGGACCCAAUCAAAACCAUCACCUUGCCAUACAUAGCAGCUGUUACCAAAAAUAUUUCCAAAAUAUUAAACA